rnacentral:misc_RNA from 1 species
AACGAGGCCGACCUGCGGCUGAGUUACCUGCGGAGGGAUCAUUACAGAGUUGCAAAACUCCCUAAACCAUUGUGAACGUUACCUAAACCGUUGCUUCGGCGGGCGGCCCGGGUCCUUCCCGGCGCCCAUCGGCCCUCGCGGGCGCCCGCCGGAGGUAAACCAAACUAUUGCAUUGUAUGGCCUCUCUGAGUCUUCUGUACUGAAUAAGUCAAAACUUUCAACAACGGAUCUCAGAUCGGA